UUUACCAUAUGCAUGUACGAAUGAAGGUACAGAUCAACGAUCCAAUUGAUCUGGGACCCGAGGCAUAGCAAUCAGAGGCGUAGCGCAUAGUAUGUUGGAAGGUUCUUAUAAAACAACUAAAGGCCUUUCAUAGUCUCCCCGGGGGUGGAGCCUCUUCUAUGAGUACCUCGUGAGGGGGUGCGGUUAGAGGCGUAGAACAUAGUAUGUUGGAAGGUUCUUAUAAACAACUAAAAACCAUUCAUAGUCUCCCCAGGGGGUGGAGCCUCUUCUAUGAGUACCUCGUGAGGGGGUGCGGUGCCCCUUCUUUUCUUCAGGAAACCAAUUUCAGUUCUUCCUACCACCGGGAAAUUUGAGGCCGUUCGAUGGUCACAUGCCACUCACCAUCAUUAUGUAGAUGUUCCAUGGAGGGGCAGCCCGUUUCGGGUACC
rnacentral:lncRNA from 1 species